UACGUAGGUGGCAAGCGUUGUCCGGAUUUACUGGGCGUAAAGAGCGCGCAGGCGGCUGGGCAAGUCCGAUGUGAAAGCUUCCGGUUUAACUGGAAAAUUGCAUCGGAAACUGCUCGGCUUGAAGGUGGGAGAGGGUAGCGGAAUUCCCGGUGUAGUGGUGAAAUGCGUGGAUAUCUGGAGGAACACCGGUGGCGAAGGCGGCAUCCUGGACCGGUAUUGACGCUGAGGCGCGAAAGCCAGGGGAGCAAACGGG
rnacentral:rRNA from 1 species